AACGAACGCUGGCGGCAGGCUUAACACAUGCAAGUCGAACGCAUCCUUCGGGGUGAGUGGCAGACGGGUGAGUAACGCGUGGGAACGUGCCCUUCAGUUCGGGAUAACCCAGAGAAACUUGGGCUAAUACCGGAUACGUGCGAGAGCAGAAAGAUUUAUCGCUGAAGGAUCGGCCCGCGUCUGAUUAGCUAGUUGGUGGGGUAAUGGCCCACCAAGGCGACGAUCAGUAGCUGGGCUGAGAGGAUGAUCAGCCACAUUGGGACUGAGACAGGGCCCAAACUCCUACGGGAGGCAGCAGUGGGGAAUAUUGGACAAUGGGCGCAAGCCUGAUCCAGCCAUGCCGCGUGAGUGAUGAAGGCCUUAGGGUUGUAAAGCUCUUUCGUCCGGGACGAUAAUGACGGUACCGGAAGAAGAAGCCCCGGCUAACUUCGUGCCAGCCGCCGCCGUAA
rnacentral:rRNA from 1 species